rnacentral:snoRNA from 1 species
UUAGCCUCCGAAUAACGAUAAAGUGAUAUAUAGGAACACUUUCUGGUUCAGACAGAGGCUUAUAUCAAAAAACUCGAAUCAGAUUUGAGGGUGAAAAAAGCUUUACUCUUUUUUGCCAUCCAAAUCUUCAUUUUCCUUUACUUGGAUAGAUUCGAAUAUCU